UUUAUUAGGUUGAUGCAGAACUAAUUGUGGUUUUCGCCACUACUUUCAAUGGCAAAACCCUCAAUUACUUUUGCACCAACCUAA
rnacentral:miRNA from 1 species